AUACAUGCAGUCGAACGCGCAGCGAGAGGUGCUUGCACUUUCCAGCGAGUGGCGAACGGGUGAGUAACACGUGGAUAACCUGCCUCAAGGCUGGGGAUAACAUUUGGAAACAGAUGCUAAUACCGAAUAAAACUUAGUAUCGCAUGAUAUCAAGUUAAAAGGCGCUACGGCGUCACCUAGAGAUGGAUCCGCGGUGCAUUAGUUAGUUGGUGGGGUAAAGGCUUACCAAGACGAUGAUGCAUAGCCGAGUUGAGAGACUGAUCGGCCACAUUGGGACUGAGACACGGCCCAAACUCCUACGGGAGGCUGCAGUAGGGAAUCUUCCACAAUGGGCGCAAGCCUGAUGGAGCAACGCCRCGUGUGUGAUGAAGGCUUUCGGGUCGUAAARCACUGUUGUAUGGGAAGAAAUGCUAAAAUAGGGAAUGAUUUUAGUUUGACGGUACCAUACCAGAAAGGGACRGCUAAAUACGUGCCAGCAGCCGCGGUAAUACGUAUGUCCCGAGCGUUAUCCGGAUUUAUUGGGCGUAAAGCGAGCGCAGACGGUUGAUUAAGUCUGAUGUGAAAGCCCGGAGCUCAACUCCGGAAUGGCAUUGGAAACUGGUUAACUUGAGUGUUGUAGAGGUAAGUGGAACUCCAUGUGUAGCGGUGGAAUGCGUAGAUAUAUGGAAGAACACCAGUGGCGAAGGCGGCUUACUGGACAACAACUGACGUUGAGGCUCGAAAGUGUGGGUAGCAAACAGGAUUAGAUACCCUGGUAGUCC
rnacentral:rRNA from 1 species